GUUCCCUCUCAAAAUUCCCUCUUUUUUUCCAGGAUAGGUAAUGAACCCUUCAUUACUCUCCCCGAUUUUCACUCUUGCACAGCCUUCUCUCACAAUUCAUUGUUCUCUCCCCUCACUAUCACACACCCGCAUAGACAUUUGUUGAUCGUCGGGUUUCCUCUGUUUGCUGCUGCUGUGCGAGACCAGGUAAUGCUUCAGUACCACAUUGAACGACAAUGCUUAUUGAAGUGUACCCGUCAGAUUAUCAUGCAUACAUGGAAGUCCAUUAUGCAGCUGAUUCGAGAUUAGAUAUGGACAUGUUUGGUAAUCUAGAGAGCAGAAACUAGCUCAUUUUGUGUUUUUCUUCAUUUUACCUUACAUGUAUUUUGGUUGCAUUGUAAAUUUUUUUAUUUUUGUGGGUAUUAUAGGACAUAUUUGGUCAUCCGCACUUGAUAUUAUAUUUUUGUAGAUAUUAGUAGACAUGUUUUUUGUGGAUAUUAGGAGACAUGUUUGGUAAUCUGUAUGUGGUUGAUAUUGUAUUUUUGUGGAUAUUAGUAAACAUAUUUUUUGUGGA